GGUGAAAUGGCUGAGGAUAGGCAGUAAACUGUAAAUUUACUAACGAAAUGAUUAUUUCUUUCACCA
rnacentral:tRNA from 1 species